GGUUAAGUUAGAAAGGGCGCACGGUGGAUGCCUUGACACUAGGAGUCGAUGAAGGACGGGACUAACGCCGAUAUGCUUCGGGGAGCUGUAAGUAAGCUUUGAUCCGAAGAUUUCCGAAUGGGGAAACCCACCAUACGUAAUGGUAUGGUAUCCUUAUCUGAAUACAUAGGGUAAGGAAGACAGACCCAGGGAACUGAAACAUCUAAGUACCUGGAGGAAGAGAAAGCAAAUGCGAUUUCCUGAGUAGCGGCGAGCGAAACGGAACAUAGCCCAAACCAAGAGGCUUGCCUCUUGGGGUUGUAGGACAUUCUAUACGGAGUUACAAAGGAACGAGGUAGACGAAGCGACCUGGAAAGGUCCGUCGUAGAGGGUAACAACCCCGUAGUCGAAACUUCGUUCUCUCUUGAAUGUAUCCUGAGUACGGCGGAACACGUGAAAUUCCGUCGGAAUCUGGGAGGACCAUCUCC
rnacentral:rRNA from 1 species